GAUUAAGUUAUUAAGGGCGCACGGUGGAUGCCUUGGCACUAGAAGCCGAUGAAGGACGUUACUAACGACGAUAUGCUUUGGGGAGCUGUAAGUAAGCUUUGAUCCAGAGAUUUCCGAAUGGGGAAACCCAGCAUGAGUUAUGUCAUGUUAUCGAUAUGUGAAUACAUAGCAUAUCAGAAGGCACACCCGGAGAACUGAAACAUCUUAGUACCCGGAGGAAGAGAAAGAAAAUUCGAUUCCCUUAGUAGCGGCGAGCGAAACAGGAAGAGCCCAAACCAACAAGCUUGCUUGUUGGGGUUGUAGGACACUCUAUACGGAGUUA
rnacentral:rRNA from 1 species